AUUGUUGGCUGACUGCAGCAGCAGUAGUACGGGUUCGACUAGCCAAACCCAAUGAAUAUAGUUGGACACGAAUGUUUGAUCUUGAACAGAACUUACAACAUCAAUCAAAAUUGUACAGAAAAGAGUGGGUCUGUACCUGAACAAAUGUCAAAUAAUAUUUUUUUGCCGAGAUGGCCAGUCAAUUUGAGUAACGUCAUUGUAUUCUUCAUUACGUUCUCGCAAUGACAUCGCAACGUCAAUUAGCAACAAAUCAACCUGCCUCUAGAUGGGAUCGCCAUAUAAAUUAAACGAUGAAAAAGCCUGGAAGGAGGAGAAAUGACGAGAAACGAUUCGGUUGGCCGGUUUAUGUGUGGAUUAAUUGUCGGAGUACGAGGUCAUUGUGCAUUUCAGGUGGGUCAGCUAUGGCGGUGGCGGUCUAUGAAGAAACUGAAUGCAGAAAAAACUGCCCUGCACAGGACACAAACCUUCCACCAGAAACAAGCUCAGCACUGGAAUCUUGUACCUCCAUCUCUAGCAGUAGAGAGGUGUUGCCAGCUCUACCAACAGCUAUCCUGGAGAAUAUUCAUGAAUCUGGAGAGAUAAACCUGAACUUGCCUGAGGGAGGCAAGGGUGAGGGAAGUGUAGAGAGGGUGUUCACUGGUGAUGAGGAUACAAGUGGGAUUGUUAAAGAGCUGAGUUGGAACUCAGGUGACCGUGAUAAGGAGGAAAGGAGAGAUGCUUUCUCAGAGGAGGGUGUGAGUGACACAGUCAGUGCAGAGUGGAGAGAGGGAGACUGCUUUGUCCCAGUUGGAGUAGAGGUGACUGAGAUGGCUGCUGAGGGGGAGUUUGAAGAUGGGAUGAGAGCUGAAAUGAAAGAGGGAAAGGGGACAAACAGUUGUGAGUCAGGGGAGGAGUUGGUUGCUGAGAGGGCUGUGAAGAGAGAGAUUGAAGAGAAAGAUACAGAGGGAAAACUAGUCCCAGAGAAAGAACACAAGGUGGCUCCCAAGAGGAAGAAUAUAAGGAAACGCAGACGAUCAGCCAAACCUCAACGUGACAAAGAGGCAAAUUCCAGUGCUUCCUUUGUAGAGACUGUUCUCUCAUGGCUACUGUCAGUCUUCCUAUGGCUGCAGGCAUUCUCACCAACAAUGUUAUGCUGGUCCCCAAAUAGUUUAUUUUGUGUAGUCAUGCUCGGGGUGGCAUCUGGCACUGGGGGUGUCUUUACAAGCAACGAUCACCAGAGUUUGUCAUGCAUCGCCUGCAAGAGUCCUGGAUGUGCUGCUGAUGUGACUAAGAUAUGGUGUGGGGAGGAUGAACUGUUGAAGGGUUUACCGAUCCCACUCUGCACAAGCAUUUCCCAAAAGUCCAAGACUGUUUGCCAGCAUGAUGGUCGGACAUUUGUGCUUAUGAUUGAAGAGGGCAAGAAGUGUGAUAUGGAACAAUAUCAUGACCAUGUGCCCUCUGAAAAGACAGAGUGUCCACCAUUGUUGGAGGCUGCUCAAGACUCAAGGUUGGACACUGUUCGAGGUGACACCACUUUGUCAGCACCAACUCUCAAUGAUCCUCAAAGUUCAACAGCUGCCUCAUCGAGAGCAUCACCACCUGGUAUGGCAACUGCUCGGCAUCUGACCAUAAGGCGCUACAGAGGGUGGUGCGUACAGCCCAGUACAUCACUGGAGCCAAGCUUCCCGCAAUCCAAGCAGUAUACUGCUUUUUGUAUACUGCUGCUAACUGUUUAUUACCUAUGCAUAAUCACUUCACCCCUACCUGCAUGUACAAAUGACCUCUAACCUGUACCCACGCACACUGACUCGGUACCGGUACCCCCUGUAUAUAACCUAUUUAUUGUUAUGUUAUUAUUAUUUUUUACUUUCGUUUAUUUGGUAAAUAUUUUCUUAACUCUUCUUGAACUGCACUGUUGGUUAAGGACUUGUAAGUAAACAUUUCACGGUACGGUCUACACUUGUAUUCGGUGCAUGUGACAAAUUAAAGUUUGAUUUGAUUCAACAGCUGAUAUGACUACCUCACCACCACCUGAAAAUGGUAAGAUCCAAUAGACAGAAUUACAAAGGUCAAACUGCCAUGUUUGUGCAAUUAAACAGUUUGUGAUUUUCUGUUCCCAUAGGUUCAUUGUUUGUCGGCGUCAUUGUCAUUGUCAUUUUAGUUAUUGGUAAAUUUCAUCGAAAAGGGCCCCUCCUAUCAAUCCUAUCCUGUACUACAUCUUAAAUGUGCUUUUUGGGGGAGGGGGGUGGGAACAAGCCUUUUGCUCCCUUGUUUCUUGCUAAUGGAAUGCUCUCCCUUACCCUCUGAGCGCUGCUCCACCAAUCCAAGCGUUUAAAAUGGGCCUUUAUAACCCACUUCUACAGACUUUUUCUCAUAGGUCUAAUCCUAAUCUGAAAACAGUUUUUUUGUGCAUCUAUUCCAUUUGCAUUUUUCUUUGCCUAAGUAGAGCCUUGAGAAGGACUGUAAUGAAAAGCACUAUGCACAUUAAAUGCAUUAUUAUUAAUAUUAGAUGGCUCUGCUACUGCUUUUCCUGUCGCCGCUGGCAUGGCUGUAGUUAAUCCUUUACAUGUAUUGCUAAAGUACUUAUACAGAAUAUGUCUUAUAAACAUGAAUUUGUAUAUUUUGUGAAGUGGGUCUUGCAGGCAUAACUAAUAUCAAUGAUUGCUUGAGGGCUAAGCUUUGCUGCUGCUGUAUCUGCUGCUGCUCUUGCCAUGGUCUCCUGUAUUCUUCUUCUGUUUAUUUCCGGGGCUUGAUUGCCUGACACUGCAGCGAUUGUCCUGUUACGAGGUGAGAUACUAGUUUCUUUAGAAUAUCUUCCACAUUAUAUUCACCUGAUACUUACUCAGUUCCAUGUUGAAAUGAUUGCUUCAUCUAUAGUUCCAGGUGCAGUUUAGCACCAUUAGAGCUUGCAUUACUCCUCUCUAAUGCUAGGAUCACAGUAUUAAGUCUUUGAAAGUUAUGUUUUUGAUUAAUUGGCACUUUUCUCUGUCAGGCUUUAUUGGUGUUGUUGUUGCAGUCUAUUUGAUCAGACAAAAGCAGCAGGGUGCCAGUAGAAACCAAGAUGAAGAGACUGAGAUGAGUGCUCUGAACAACGGUAUCAAUCAGAAUGGAGGUCCUGCCAAUAGAGACAAUAAUGAAGUGAUGGCUGUGAACAUGCUUGACAAUGGGGGCCCCCUGAGCCAUCGGCAGUAAUGAGGGCCCGUGGAGCUGUCUCCGGCAGCAUGGUUAGCAUAGAGACUAUGGUACUGAUUGACCUGGCUCGUCUAUGAAGUGUUUUUUUAUGUUCAUGUUCAAAAUGUGGCACAUCUUACAUUUUCAUUUCAACAGAUAGUGCAUGUUUGUGUAAAUUGUGUUUUCAACAUAUUUCAGUGUGGAACAUAGAUGGCAUAAGACCCUGAUUUUAUUGAUCAGUGAAAAUGGAAUGCAAAUUAUUAAGGGAACUGCUUUGGGGCUUCACAUUUUUUGCUUUUUUCCAUUCUAUGGCUUACCUGUCCAUAUUUGUUCAAAUAAAUGAAAGAAUUAUGAACAAUUAGGCUGUCAUUCAAUCAACUCUGUUAAUUGCAGCAAUUAUAUAUGAAUUAUUCUACUUUUAAUUGUAGCCUUCAAGAUUUUGAGUGAACUCUGAUUUGGUUUUCACAUGCAUUUCUUUAUCCUCGCUAGCAGAUUUUGAAAGUUAUGUUGAUACUUCACUUGAAUAGCUGUAGACACAUGGCCUUAUACAUUUUUUAUCAUUAUGUAAUCUUUUGGGUAAGUUUGAGGAAAUCCCCGUGUAACCUGUCAAUAAUAAAACCUCAUAACACACUGUUUAACAUUCAUAAAA